GAUGAACGCUAGCGGCAGGCCUAAUACAUGCAAGACGAACGGUAAGUUGAGUAGCAAUACUUAGCCAAGAGUGUCGUACGGGUGCGUAACACGUAUGCAACCUACCCUAUACAGGAGGAUAGCCUAGGGAAACCUGGAUUAACCCUUCAUAGUAUUAUUGGAUGGCAUCAUUUGAUAAUUAAAACUGAGGUGGUAUAGGAUGGGCAUGCGUCUGAUUAGUUAGUUGGCGGGUAAUGGCCCACCAAGACGAUGAUCAGUAGGGGUUCUGAGAGGAAGAUCCCCCACACUGGCACUGAGAUACGGGCCAGACUCCUACGGGAGGCAGCAGUAGGGAAUAUUGGUCAAUGGAUGCAAGUCUGAACCAGCCAUGCCGCGUGCAGGAAGAAGGCCUUCUGGGGUUGUAAACUGCUUUUGCCAGGGGAUAAAAUUUCCAUGCGUGGAAAACUGAAGGUACCUGGUGAAUAAGCCACGGCUAACUACGUGCCAGCAGCCGCGGUAAU
rnacentral:rRNA from 1 species